GCGCUUCACUGGGCAGCCCUCCCCGCUGCGGGGGAGCCCAGCCGAGCCGAGCCGAGCGGGGCGCUGCUGCCGUUCCCUGCUCCUCAGCGGCCCUGCGCAGCCGCCUCCUCUUGCGGGAGGAAGUGGGUCUCCUCGGCAGAGGCUCCCGGGAAGCCGCCCCGAGGCCCUUCCCGCUGGUGGCCGACGGAGGGGUCUCCCCGAGCGGUUUCGGGGAGGGCAGGCUGGGAAAGGGGCGUUUGCUGGUUUCAUUUUUUCCGGUUCCUGGCAGCGUUUCGUCUUGGGUUUGUGGGGCGAUUUAGGUCAUCUCUGAGGCAUCCCCCUGCUCCCCCCUUCCCACGGCUGAGACAUCAGUAACUGAAAGGAAGCCGUGUGGCUUUUUAGAUCGAUUUCUAACUCACGUUUCCCCAUAUUUAUUCUUACGGUACUUUAUUUCCUUUAUGUCCUGCAUUCAUGGUUCCUGUACCAUCCCUCUUGUCUGCUUUGUGAUCGCUCUGCCAGCACCAACUACGCUGCCCUCCUGUGCUUUGAAUCUUUUUCCCUUCAAAGUGAUCCAGUAUGUUUCCUCACUGCUCAACCCUUUCCACCCCUACAUUUCUUAGGCUCUGUGUUAAUGAACAAAACCUAAAUGGUAGUCUUGAGGUCCAACUAUUCUGCACUAUCUGUGGUUUUCACAUUUCCACCACGCAAAGAGCAAGAUUUAUCAGGAAGGCCAGAUCUGAAGUGAUUUUAGUGACAUGGGUUUGAACUCCAAGUACCAGAUCAUAGCUCAAGUUCAGUGUCACAGGGCCUUUGCCCACCCUCGUGGAUACCAGAGUUACUGGCUGAAUAUGCCAGGUCAUGUCACAGGCUCUGAACUCACUCACAGGCCUUACAGGUCUUCGCUUCACCACACUGCUGUGAGUGCUGAGGGAGGCUGAAGCUCCUUCAUUCUGCAGGUGGAUCUGCACUAUGCUGUCUAGGUGGAGACCAGCAUAUAUAUUAAUUUGCAGCAGCAGCAAGCUCCUGAUCUUGAGGAACUCCAUGCGCAGCUUAUGCUAGCCAGUCCUUCUCCACAGUAGGGCCAAGUGGGAGCUGCCUUCACAGGAGCAGAGCCAGCUGAAAAUUCCCCUGCUUCCAGCUCUGUUGACCCUUCCAGCAGCACGAGGAAACCAGAACACAGACGAGUAUGUUUCCCAGUAAACAGAAGUCAUUUGCUCUUGCCUAAAAAAAGAGUGCAAGCAUGAAACCACUUCUUACAUGCACAGAAAUUCACUUUGUUCAUACUGAUGUAGGCCUCUGGUGAAAUUGGUUUAGGAUAAAAAAGAAGUAAAUAUGACUCAGAAACACACUUGCUGUUUCUACAGACAAAACAUGACUACCAAGGUAUUUCUGAAUGUUUUCAAGAUGUAGGAUAGCUACCUUACAUUUGCAAAACUUGUGGGAUUUUUAAUAACACAGGGAAAGCAGACACACAAGCUUUGAACUUCCUGGUAAUGCAAAGAUACUCCUUAUGGAUCUCCUUUAAAGCUCAGGAACUACCAGUUCUAGCUAGACCUACCAGUUUUCCUAAUCUUUGAAUGCUAACAAGAUGAUGUGUGUUUUGUUUUAUCUUAUUCAAUUUUGGGUAAGUAAUAUAAUUAUAAAUGAUAGUGUGCAAGUUUGUUACUAUAUACAUGAUUUGUGAAGCAAGUUCGUGAGCCAGCACAGCAAUGAGUGCAUUUAUUGCAGCACAUCCAAGUAAAUGCUGUUCCAUAUAUGAGGUACAGAGAGAAAGUGGAAGUUUAUGAAGCCAUAUUUUUAAGUAUUAAACAUAUCAGUAAAAUAUGCUUGUUUUACUUGAUACAUAUCCAUGUUUGCUGUUGAUACUUCUGUUAUGACAGGAAAAGUAAUUAUGGCAAACAAAAGAAGAAACUAAAAAAAAGAGCUGUUAGGAUGAGUAACCCAAGAAACAAGGGGUCAACACUGAUCGCAGUAUAAUCAGAGUAUUUUAAGGUUUUUCACUUGUAAUGGGGAGAAUAAUUAGUUAAGAGAGGAGAGUUUGUAACAGUAUAACACUUGAUAUCCAUUUGGUCAUUGUAUCUGCCACUACUUCAUGUCCCGAGACAAAGAUUUUCACAUCUGGGCAAAAGAUAGUACAUAAGCAAGACAGAGUGACAGACAUAAGUUUGAAAUGUAGGCACUGAUUUUGAUUAAUUUAUCCCAUAGGCCUGCUUUUAUAUCUAUUGCUUUGUUUUACUAUUUAGUAGAUUAUGUAGCAAUCAAUCAUAUUUCCAUCUAGCUAACCAUGAUUAUUAAUAUUUUAAACUAGUUUUAAGAUGGAUUGGCUGGUGAGUGCAAUAGGUCUGCUCUCUAAGCUAGUGAGAAUGGAAUACACCCAGGUUACAUGCAAUGAAUUAUUGCCACUGGACAAUCUGAUGAAAUCUACAUCAGCCAUUAGAAUAUAAAUCCAGCAGCAGGAAUACAGUGCUGUCAGGGGACUGAGAUUUCCUGCUUUGAAAAUAAACAUACUGGCUUUACCUCUGCAUUUAUUGAACAAAAGUACAUAGUUUUUCUGUGACAGUAAAAGUAUAGGAGUUAAAUCAGUGGAGUUCACUUAAUGGUAGAUGGAAACCUUACAGAAACGUAUGCAUUUUUCACACAAUGUAUGUGGAAAGCAGUUACUUUCCUGCCAAAAGCCAAACUCAGGAUUCUGUGUCACAGCAUCAGGAGUCAGCAACCUCACAAUCAGCCAGCAGUGUGGGAAAGCAUUGUGCUAAACUACAAGGGAUGUGUUCAUUUGCAGGGGAAAGACUGAAAGUCUCGGCAGGUUAUUAAAAGAGGAAAUGAUUUUCAAAUACAAUAUUCUGUUUUGAAAUGCAAUUGUUUUUUUCUAUUGGAUGCCAAAAAUUUCUGAAGAAUGCAAUAUCCUCUAACUAAUUGUAUCUGUGCUCCGAGAAAAGAAACAGAGCUAUUGUUCUCCUCACAGCAGGAGCUAUUUUUAUAUUAGUCUGUGUAGCACUCCUUUGUGUAAUGAUUGUCUUCUACCUACACAAACUUCAAUCCAUUUAAAAUAAUCAAAUUAAGAUAGUUUCUUGCUUUCUUAUACCAAGUUGGUAUUCAUAUAGAGUGUUUUCUAGGUUACUUGGAUUUGGUACAAGGCCUUUAGGCUAAAAAAAGUAAAAUUCUCUUACCUCAGUCGAAGACCAAACCCCUUCCUCUUUGAAUGAAUGGAAGCAGGAAGUAGCAACAAGAAGGAGGUUGCCCUUGCAAGAAACAAAAGGUUCUUCUGCUAACAAGACCUGUAGCAUUUCUACCAUGAUUUCUACCAUCAUUUCUACAAUGACCACUGAUAACUGGUCAUUGACUUAGUUGCACUGUAUACUUCACAUAGAAGGAGGGAAAGCUACUAUUUGUUCUUGUAAACCUUGCUUUUUGCCAAGCAGGAGAGUGUUCUCAAAGUGCAAAUAGUGGAGUAGUCAUUAUCUGCACUUGAGAUUUUCAUUUAUGUAGUAAUACAGGUGUUUGGAGACUGAUCAACUGCUGGAGAAAUUACCGUUACUGGAAGGUCUGUGUCAUCCUAUCCAUAUUCCCUAUCUCUAUUUUGUUAUUUAUUAGCAUAUAAUUAUUUGUAAUAUAUGACAUGACAUACAUAUGACAUAUCAUUGUCACUGUUUUCUUGCUUUAUGUUGCUUAACCUUUUAGUUACCGUAUGUAACUUCACAAUAUCCUAUCAGAAUGCUACCUAAAUAUUGUUUCUCAUUUCCUUA